UCUUUUUCUUCUUGUUAGGCUCACUUCCGGUAUUGCCGAAACUGGAAGUGACGUCAUUGAAAUAAAAAACUAGAUAUAACAACCGAUAUAAUAAUUGUUAACCUCUAGCUACUUUUAUACAUAGUCUCUGAUUAGACACUUUAGUGAAGAUAUUAAGAUAUUCUUAAUUUUUAACUUUUUAUUCAUAAUUUUAAUGCUUUUACCCAUGAUGCACCUCAACAGGAAGUGGGCGGUCCAAAAAGAGAUGUUUUGGCGCCCAAACACAUCAUUAUUGCUUACUGUAUAUAAGGCCACUGUUGCCACACAAAUUUAUUGUCUUGAAAAAGGCCUUGCAUAGGCCGAAAUGCGUCGACAGUUGGACAUUCAGAAUCUUAACCAAAAGGACACAGAGCACAACUAGGAUCACAUUGGAGGAACAUUGAACACAUUUCUGGCUUUUUUUACCAUUUUUCAUCAAUUUUGUGUAUACAAUUUUUCUGUUUGUUUUUUGUUCACCACAUUUUUAUUUUUAUUAAUUUUUUGGAAUUUUUUCAUUUUUAUAUUUUUCACUCCACUACACCAUCAUAAUUUGGAUUUAUUGUUUGAUUCAUUUGACAUUUGGACAUUUUAUUUGACUUUUGGACACUUUCACUUUUAUAUUGGACACUGUUUCUCACGAUAAAUAUUAAUCUUACACCUUUCAAAUAUUAUGGAUCCAUAAUUGAUAUUAAUCCAAGCUUUUUAAUCUUCAUUUUAAUUGUACUUUUGAGAGUUUCGUCUAUAUUGUAUUAUUGUAUUACUAUCUCAUUAUACUAUUUUAUCACUACAAUGUAUUAAACAAAAUUUUACUACAUUUUUGUAUUCUUAGGAUUAAUAUAUCCUAUUCAGAGAUUCCUAUUCCUUUCAACACCUCAGCCUUUUUAGGCGCUUUAUACAUCUAAUUAUUAUCCAUACACCAGACAGUACUGGGUGGAAAUAAGGAGAGAAUUGGAAAAAUGUUUAUCUUUUAAUAUUGCAUUGGACCCAUUGUUGAUGCUUUUUAACUAUCCCCCUAUGCUAAAAUGUAAACUGAGAUUGAAAUUAUUAUAUAUCAUGAUAAACAGGGCAAAACAACUUAUCCCCAAUUAUGGAAAACCUUGUCUGUCCCCACGAUAGCAGGGUGGAGGGAAUACAUCACACAACUAUUAAAUCUAGAGAGGUACCAUUAUGUUCAGUCUGAGCAAGUGGAGUUUUAUAGCGAUAUGAAAUGUAUCUGGGAGGACUAUUCGGCAUCACAGUAGGCAACUGAUAUGUAAACCUGAUUAUAGCUAAGAAUUGUAUUAGACCCAUAAGGAUCAACAUGUACUUGCAACAUCUCUAAUCAUAUUGUAUUUUCCACUGUUUGUUAUGUACUAUUUCAACAAUAAAGGUAAUUUGGAAAAAAAAA